rnacentral:rRNA from 1 species
UGGAGGACCGAACCGACUAAUGUUGAAAAAUUAGCGGAUGACCUGUGGCUGGGGGUGAAAGGCCAAUCAAACCGGGAGAUAGCUGGUUCUCCCCGAAAGCUAUUUAGGUAGCGCCUCGUGAAUUCAUCUCCGGGGGUAGAGCACUGUUUCGGCUAGGGGGCCAUCCCGGCUUACCAACCCGAUGCAAACUGCGAAUACCGGAGAAUGUUAUCACGGGAGACACACGGCGGGUGCUAACGUCCGUCGUGAAGAGGGAAACAACCCAGACCGCCAGCUAAGGUCCCAAAGUCAUGGUUAAGUGGGAAACGAUGUGGGAAGGCCCAGACAGCCAGGAUGUUGGCUUAGAAGCAGCCAUCAUUUAAAGAAAGCGUAAUAGCUCACUGGUCGAGUCGGCCUGCGCGGAAGAUGUAACGGGGCUAAACCAUGCACCGAAGCUGCGGCAGCGACACUGUGUGUUGUUGGGUAGGGGAGCGUUCUGUAAGCCUGUGAAGGUGUGUCGUGAGGCAUGCUGGAGGUAUCAGAAGUGCGAAUGCUGACAUAAGUAACGAUAAAGCGGGUGAAAAGCCCGCUCGCCGGAAGACCAAGGGUUCCUGUCCAACGUUAAUCGGGGCAGGGUGAGUCGACCCCUAAGGCGAGGCCGAAAGGCGUAGUCGAUGGGAAACGGGUUAAUAUUCCCGUACUUGGUGUUACUGCGAAGGGGGGACGGAGAAGGCUAUGUUGGCCGGGCGACGGUUGUCCCGGUUUAAGCGUGUAGGCUGGUUUUCCAGGCAAAUCCGGAAAAUCAAGGCUGAGGCGUGAUGACGAGGCACUACGGUGCUGAAGCAACAAAUGCCCUGCUUCCAGGAAAAGCCUCUAAGCAUCAGGUAACAUCAAAUCGUACCCCAAACCGACACAGGUGGUCAGGUAGAGAAUACCAAGGCGCUUGAGAGAACUCGGGUGAAGGAACUAGGCAAAAUGGUGCCGUAACUUCGGGAGAAGGCACGCUGACACGUAGGUGAAGUGAUUUACUCAUGGAGCUGAAGUCAGUCGAAGAUACCAGCUGGCUGCAACUGUUUAUUAAAAACACAGCACUGUGCAAACACGAAAGUGGACGUAUACGGUGUGACGCCUGCCCGGUGCCGGAAGGUUAAUUGAUGGGGUCAGCGCAAGCGAAGCUCCUGAUCGAAGCCCCGGUAAACGGCGGCCGUAACUAUAACGGUCCUAAGGUAGCGAAAUUCCUUGUCGGGUAAGUUCCGACCUGCACGAAUGGCGUAAUGAUGGCCAGGCUGUCUCCACCCGAGACUCAGUGAAAUUGAACUCGCUGUGAAGAUGCAGUGUACCCGCGGCAAGACGGAAAGACCCCGUGAACCUUUACUAUAGCUUGACACUGAACAUUGAGCCUUGAUGUGUAGGAUAGGUGGGAGGCUUUGAAGUGUGGACGCCAGUCUGCAUGGAGCCGACCUUGAAAUACCACCCUUUAAUGUUUGAUGUUCUAACGUGGACCCGUUACCCGGGUUGCGGACAGUGUCUGGUGGGUAGUUUGACUGGGGCGGUCUCCUCCUAAAGAGUAACGGAGGAGCACGAAGGUUGGCUAAUCCUGGUCGGACAUCAGGAGGUUAGUGCAAUGGCAUAAGCCAGCUUGACUGCGAGCGUGACGGCGCGAGCAGGUGCGAAAGCAGGUCAUAGUGAUCCGGUGGUUCUGAAUGGAAGGGCCAUCGCUCAACGGAUAAAAGGUACUCCGGGGAUAACAGGCUGAUACCGCCCAAGAGUUCAUAUCGACGGCGGUGUUUGGCACCUCGAUGUCGGCUCAUCACAUCCUGGGGCUGAAGUAGGUCCCAAGGGUAUGGCUGUUCGCCAUUUAAAGUGGUACGCGAGCUGGGUUUAGAACGUCGUGAGACAGUUCGGUCCCUAUCUGCCGUGGGCGCUGGAGAACUGAGGGGGGCUGCUCCUAGUACGAGAGGACCGGAGUGGACGCAUCACUGGUGUUCGGGUUGUCAUGCCAAUGGCACUGCCCGGUAGCUAAAUGCGGAAGAGAUAAGUGCUGAAAGCAUCUAAGCACGAAACUUGCCCCGAG